CCCAGAUCGUUAUCAGAUUCAUUUUCUCACCUCUCAACUCGAGUUCCGAACCUCAUAACCAGUUGAGCUCUCGUCGAGACAACACAGCUGAGAGGAAUCAUAGGGUGGUCACCUGAGAGGAAUCAAUCAUAGCAUAAUCAUCUACACCUGUAUCCUGCUAUCUACACCUGUAUCCUGCUAUCUACACUCGAGGAGAUUCACGCAACAUCAAGCACUACAUCAUUUUCUCACCUCUCAACUCGAGUUCCGAACCUCAUAACCAGUUGAGCUCUCGUCGAGACAACACAGCUGAGAGGAAUCAAAGGACGGUCACCUGAGAGGAAUCAAUCAUAGCAUAAUCAUCUACACCUGUAUCCUGCUAUCUACACCUGUAUCCUGCUAUCUACACUCGAGGAGAUUCACGCAACAUCAAGCACUACAUGUAAGUACAGUUUUACUUUGAUUUUAUCCUCUGAGGAGGAAAAUAGUCCUCCGAGGAGAGGUUUUCUCCUCCGAGGACAGGUUUUCUCCUCCGAGGAGAAAAAACCUUCUACAAUAUACUGCAUGCAUGCGAUUUAUCUUUAGAAUAUGAUAUAUCCGGAACAUCCAAGCCCCGCUCUUCUUUCUCACACUCAUCGUAUAAACAAAACGGUAAAUGAAUUACUUUUUCAGUUGGUUCACCGAUAAUAUAUUUACAAUAGACACAUUGCAGAUAUAAUGGAUUUUUAUGUAAGAAAUAACCAUUUCUCGCAAAAUACUCUGCUUUAUUGCGUAAUGAUUUACAAAAGUCACAAUGUAGAUGG